rnacentral:lncRNA from 1 species
GAGUGGUCAGGCCAGGGCCUUGAUUCUUGGCAUAUCCAGCAAGAAUAUGCAUGGACAGGAGACUGAUGGCAGAUUGGCUUCCACAAAAGAUAUUGAAAAUAGCAUAUGGGCUCCCAUUAUUACCUUCAUGUGCCCCAAGAGUUGAAUCUACUCCAAUUUUUUAGGAAUAAGGAAACUAAGGAAGAAAGGAAUAAAAGCCAAAAUUAUAUUUCAUCAGCAGGACUUCCAUCCAUGAUCAUCACACCUACAGUGGUUCUGGAAAGAGAACUGCCACACCAGUUUCCCAGUCUUUGUGGUCAAGGUUGGAAAAGUCAAAGCCCAGUUUGGUGUUGGACAUGCUGGUGAGCCUCUUACAGAGGCCAUGGAUGAUGGUCUACAGCUUGGUAUCUCCCUUAUCAGAG